rnacentral:misc_RNA from 1 species
UUAAGUUCAGCGGGUAGUCCUACCUGAUUUGAGAUCAAAUGGUCAAAAUCUGUCCCCACUGAGGAGAGACGUUUAUGAGCUCCAGUGAACCUCCAUUGCUGGGGGUUACCUGGUGGAAAACCACAAGCGUAGAUAGUUAUCACACAUGUGAUGCCACCAAACACCGGCAAGCUAAUUCGUUUGAGAGGAGCUGACCCAUA